UACGGGGGGGGCAAGCGUUGUUCGGAAUUACUGGGCGUAAAGGGCUCGUAGGCGGCCAACUAAGUCCGACGUGAAAUCCCAAGGCUUAACCUUGGAACUGCGUCGGAUACUGGGUGGCUUGAAUUCGGGAGAGGGAUGCAGAAUUCCAGGUGUAGCGGUGAAAUGCGUAGAUAUCUGGAGGAAUACCGGUGGCGAAGGCGGGUCUCUGGGCAACAACUGACGCUGAGGAGCGAAAGCGUGGGGAGCGAACAGG
rnacentral:rRNA from 1 species